rnacentral:misc_RNA from 1 species
UACGGAGGCCCCAAGCGUUGUUCGGAAUUACUGGGCGUAAAGAGAAUGUAGGUGGCGUAAUAAGUCAGAUGUGAAAUCCCUAGGCUCAACCUAGGACGUGCAUUUGAUACUGUUAUGCUCGAGUGCGGUAGAGGAAAGUGGAAUUCCCGGUGUAGGGGUGAAAUCCGUAGAUAUCGGGAGGAAUACCAAUGGUGAAGGCAGCUUUCUAGCCCGUUACUGACACUGAGAUUCGAAAGCGUGGGUAGCAAACAGG